rnacentral:rRNA from 1 species
UACGUAGGGUCCGAGCGUUAAUCGGAAUUACUGGGCGUAAAGCGUGCGCAGGCGGUUUUGUAAGCCAGAUGUGAAAGCCCCGGGCUUAACCUGGGAAUGGCAUUUGGGACUGCAAGGCUGGAGUACGGCAGAGGGAGGUGGAAUUCCAGGUGUAGCGGUGAAAUGCGUAGAUAUCGGGAGGAACACCAGUGGCGAAGGCGAGUCUCUGGGAUGAUGCUGACGCUGAGGCGCGAAAGCCAGGGGAGCAAACGGG